GCCCGUUUUACCCGCGGGAAAGCCGAGGCCCGGUGCUGUAUUCUGCCGCCCAUUUUACCCGCGGGGAAGCUGAGGCCCAGUGCUGUUUAAUAUCUUACUCAUGUUCACUUGAUGAGAAAGUGACAGAUCUGAGACAAACCCAGAUCGACAGAAAAGAAAUGAGUCAACGAUGGUGCAGAAAGGGACCAGCUUGACGAAGCUUCUGCUUUUGUGACUGUCUCCUAAUGGGAGAAGUGAAAUUCUACCUCACUUUUUUAAAAGAAGAGCCUGGAAUUGGCCUAUCCGUCUUUUUCCCCGUUGGAUCACAGAGCAGAAAGGAAGGUGGGCGUUUGUGUUCUGGGUGUUGUCCACGCUGGACGUGCCAGCAUCUCCCACUGAGCCAGAUGUUCCAGGGCUAAGGCCAGUUUCAUUUGAAGGCACAGCCUUACUAUAUCAUAUUAAUCUGAUGCCAAGUUUUUGGAUGUUAUGAGCAACCACCUCAUUUAUUUUUUGUGGUUGUUUAACCACAAUGAGUAAGGUGAGAAAACUGUGAUGCGGUCGACUGGCACCUAGCAUUGCCCCCAUCUGGAACAUCUGCAGCCUAGAUCUGUUCUGAUGAAGUAGAAGCCGCAGAUCUUAUCCUGAAACAGGCCAGGUGCAAGUGUCCUCUUAGAAGGGAUCAACCAUGGGAUGCGGCAUUAAGAGAAGAGAGAAGGACAUCCUUACAACUGUGCCUUUCUUUCAACUCAGUCGUGCGCAUUAGGCUUGUAUCAGUUAAAGUGCAGGCAAGAAAUUUCAAGCAGAAAGGGAGUCAGGUGCUCAUAGCAUUGCUGGCAGAAUUGAGAGCAGCGGGAGCCAUGGGAUGGGGGUGCUGCCUGGAAAUCAGGAAACUGGAGAAGCCUGCUGGAACCUGCUGAGGAACCCAUCACUGCAGCAAGAGACUGAUGGUGGACUGCAGGGGCCAGGAAGGUGCAGGAAGCCCCUGCUGCUGCAGGAGAAAGGAUGAAGGAUGGUUAUCUUCCACCUUCCAAAUCUCACAGGAACACCUCUUCUAGGUGGAAUCCAAACCAGAUUCCUUCUGGAAAGGGAUUCUGGAAAGUGUAGUUCUUAUGCUUCCAGCCUCUGAGAUAAGCAAGGACAAUUGCUGGAGGCGAGGGUGUCGCUGAAUACCAAGGAAGGAUAGCAGGUGUAGUUGCCCACAUGGCCACUCAGCAUCCACAUGGACAUCCCACCCAUGUUAAUUUCCAAAGAGCCAUCACAGAAACAUCAUCAUGCUUCCUCACAAAGAAGAAAUGCUCACCUCCACCCCAAUAGAAAGGGUCCAGGUAUCCAUCUCUGAGUGAUGGUCACCCUCCAUAUUCAGUAAAAAACACCCUCGGAUAGACUGUGGUUGAAAGACUAAACCUUUAGGUUAGCCACAGUCAAUAUAUCUUAUAUAAAAUAAGAGAGGCGGGGAGAGCAGGGGAAAGAGAUACUGGGUUAUGUGUGUAAAAACAUACACAAUAAAGCAAACAAGAAACGCUG
rnacentral:lncRNA from 1 species